AUGGAGGUCGACGACACGGCGCCGCGCGGCGGGAGCGGGGGGCCGCCCCGCAUCCGCCGGCUGGAGGAGUCGGUGGUGAACCGCAUCGCGGCGGGGGAGGUGAUCCAGCGCCCGUCGUCGGCGGUGAAGGAGCUCGUCGAGAACAGCAUCGACGCCGGCGCCUCCACCGUCUCCGUCACCGUCAAGGACGGCGGCCUCAAGCUCAUCCAGGUCUCCGACGACGGCCACGGCAUCCGGUGUGAGGACUUGCCAAUAUUGUGUGAGAGACAUACUACCUCAAAGUUGUCUGCAUAUGAGGAUCUACAGACAAUAAAAUCCAUGGGGUUCAGAGGGGAGGCAUUGGCCAGUAUGACUUAUGUUGGCCAUGUUACGGUGACAACAAUAACAGAAGGCCAACUGCAUGGCUACAGAGUUUCUUAUAGGGAUGGAGUUAUGGAGAAUGACCCGAAGCCCUGUGCUGCGGUUAAAGGAACUCAAGUCAUGGUUGAAAAUUUAUUCUACAAUAUGGUAGCUCGUAGGAAAACACUGGAGAACUCCAAUGAUGACUAUCCAAAAAUAGUGGACUUCAUCAGUCGGUUUGCGGUCCAUCACAUCAAUGUGAACUUCUCUUGCAGAAAGCAUGGAGCCAAUAGAGCAGAUGUUCACAGUGGGAGCACAUCUUCAAGGCUAGAUGCUAUUAGGAAUGUCUACGGGGCUUCGGUUGUUCGUGAUCUGAUGGAAAUACAGGUUUCAGAUGAGAAUGCUGUAGAUGAAAUAUUCAAGAUGGAUGGUUUCAUCUCAAAUGCAAAUUAUGUGGCAAAAAAGACUACUAUGAUUCUUUUCAUAAAUGAUAGACUUGUAGACUGCACUUCUUUGAAAAGAGCUACUGAAUUCGUGUACUCUGCAAUACUGCCUCAAGCAUCCAAACCUUUCAUAUACAUGUCCAUCAAUCUUCCACCAGAACACGUGGAUGUCAAUAUACAUCCAACCAAAAAGGAGGUUAGCCUCUUAAAUCAAGAGCGUAUUAUUGAAAAAAUUAAAGAUGCCAUUGAGGAAAAACUGAUGAACUGUAAUAACACAAGGAUAUUCCAAACUCAGGCACUAAACUCUUCAGCACUUACUCAAUCUAACACACGAAAGGACAUGGGUACGGAGAUCAGCACGCCUACUGGAGAUAAAUCUCAAAAGAUUCCUGUGAGCCAAAUGGUCAGAACAGAUCCACGCGAUCCAUCUGGAAGGUUGCACACCUAUUGGCAAGGUCAAUCUUCAAAUCUUGAAAAGAAAUCUGACCUUGUUACCGUGAGCAAAGAACUCAUGUACCAACAAGCUCUGUGCCGCUUUGGAAACUUCAAUGCUAUACAGCUCAGUGAACCUGCUCCUCUUCGUGAGUUGCUGACAAUGGCACUGAAAGAUGACGAAUCAAUGAGUGAUGUAAAUGAGAAGGAGAAACUAGAAAUUGCAGAAGUGAACACUGAGAUACUAAGAGAAAAUGCUGAGAUGAUUAAUGAGUACUUCUCUAUUCACAUUGAUCAAGGUGGCAACCUGACCAGACUUCCUGUUGUACUUGAUCAGUACACCCCUGAUAUGGAUCGCCUUCCAGAGUUCAUGUUGACUCUAGGAAAUGAUAUUGCCUGGGACGUUGAGAAAGAGUGCUUCAGAACGGCAGCAGCUGCUAUUGGAAACUUCUAUGCGCUUCAUCCUCCCAUCCUUCCAAAUCCAUCUGGCAAAGGCAUUCGGUUAUACAAGAAAAAUAAAGAUUCCAUGGAAAGUGCUGGACAGGCUGAUAACGAUUUAACAAGUACAGAUGAAGAUGACAUGGAUCAAGAGCUGGUUGCGGAAGCAGAGGCGGCAUGGGCUCAACGCGAGUGGACCAUCCAGCACGUCUUGUUCCCGUCCAUGCGACUUUUCCUCAAGCCCCCUAAGUCGAUGGCAACAGACGGAACAUUCGUCCAGAUUGCUUCUCUAGACAAGCUUUACAAGAUCUUCGAGAGAUGCUAG
rnacentral:rRNA from 1 species